GCACCGAAGCUGCGGCAGCGACACUGUGUGUUGUUGGGUAGGGGAGCGUUCUGUAAGCCUGUGAAGGUGUGUCGUGAGGCAUGCUGGAGGUAUCAGAAGUGCGAAUGCUGACAUAAGUAACGAUAAAGCGGGUGAAAAGCCCGCUCGCCGGAAGACCAAGGGUUCCUGUCCAACGUUAAUCGGGGCAGGGUGAGUCGACCCCUAAGGCGAGGCCGAAAGGCGUAGUCGAUGGGAAACGGGUUAAUAUUCCCGUACUUGGUGUUACUGCGAAGGGGGGACGGAGAAGGCUAUGUUGGCCGGGCGACGGUUGUCCCGGUUUAAGCGUGUAGGUGUGUGUUCCAGGUAAAUCCGGUUCACUUUAACACUGAGGCGUGACGACGAGGCACUACGGUGCUGAAGCAACAAAUGCCCUGCUUCCAGGAAAAGCCUCUAAGCAUCAGGUAACAUCAAAUCGUACCCCAAACCGACACAGGUGGUCAGGUAGAGAAUACCAAGGCGCUUGAGAGAACUCGGGUGAAGGAACUAGGCAAAAUGGUGCCGUAACUUCGGGAGAAGGCACGCUGACACGUAGGUGAAGUGAUUUACUCAUGGAGCUGAAGUCAGUCGAAGAUACCAGCUGGCUGCAACUGUUUAUUAAAAACACAGCACUGUGCAAACACGAAAGUGGACGUAUACGGUGUGACGCCUGCCCGGUGCCGGAAGGUUAAUUGAUGGGGUCAGCGCAAGCGAAGCUCCUGAUCGAAGCCCCGGUAAACGGCGGCCGUAACUAUAACGGUCCUAAGGUAGCGAAAUUCCUUGUCGGGUAAGUUCCGACCUGCACGAAUGGCGUAAUGAUGGCCAGGCUGUCUCCACCCGAGACUCAGUGAAAUUGAACUCGCUGUGAAGAUGCAGUGUACCCGCGGCAAGACGGAAAGACCCCGUGAACCUUUACUAUAGCUUGACACUGAACAUUGAGCCUUGAUGUGUAGGAUAGGUGGGAGGCUUUGAAGUGUGGACGCCAGUCUGCAUGGAGCCGACCUUGAAAUACCACCCUUUAAUGUUUGAUGUUCUAACGUGGACCCGUUACCCGGGUUGCGGACAGUGUCUGGUGGGUAGUUUGACUGGGGCGGUCUCCUCCUAAAGAGUAACGGAGGAGCACGAAGGUUGGCUAAUCCUGGUCGGACAUCAGGAGGUUAGUGCAAUGGCAUAAGCCAGCUUGACUGCGAGCGUGACGGCGCGAGCAGGUGCGAAAGCAGGUCAUAGUGAUCCGGUGGUUCUGAAUGGAAGGGCCAUCGCUCAACGGAUAAAAGGUACUCCGGGGAUAACAGGCUGAUACCGCCCAAGAGUUCAUAUCGACGGCGGUGUUUGGCACCUCGAUGUCGGCUCAUCACAUCCUGGGGCUGAAGUAGGUCCCAAGGGUAUGGCUGUUCGCCAUUUAAAGUGGUACGCGAGCUGGGUUUAGAACGUCGUGAGACAGUUCGGUCCCUAUCUGCCGUGGGCGCUGGAGAACUGAGGGGGGCUGCUCCUAGUACGAGAGGACCGGAGUGGACGCAUCACUGGUGUUCGGGUUGUCAUGCCAAUGGCACUGCCCGGUAGCUAAAUGCGGAAGAGAUAAGUGCUGAAAGCAUCUAAGCACGAAACUUGCCCCGA
rnacentral:rRNA from 1 species